UGCAUUGAAACGAACAACUAC
rnacentral:piRNA from 1 species